rnacentral:rRNA from 1 species
GACGAACGCUGGCGGCGUGCUUAACACGUGCCAGUCGAACGGAAAGGCCCUGCUUUUGUGGGGUGCUCGAGUGGCGAACGGGUGAGUAACACGUGAGUAACCUGCCCUUGACUUUGGGAUAACUUCAGGAAACUGGGGCUAAUACCGGAUAGGAGCUCCUGCUGCAUGGUGGGGGUUGGAAAGUUUCGGCGGUUGGGGAUGGACUCGCGGCUUAUCAGCUUGUUGGUGGGGUAGUGGCUUACCAAGGCUUUGACGGGUAGCCGGCCUGAGAGGGUGACCGGCCACAUUGGGACUGAGAUACGGCCCAGACUCCUACGGGAGGCAGCAGUGGAGAAUAUUGCGCAAUGGGCGGAAGCCUGAUGCAGCGACGCCGCGUGCGGGAUGACGGCCUUCGGGUUGUAAACCGCUUUCGCCUGUGACGAAGCGUGAGUGACGGUAAUGGGUAAAGAAGCACCGGCUAACUACGUG